AGGAGGCUGAAUUUCUUAACUGAAAAGAUUAGAGAAUGAAUGCAUUAUACAGCCACAUGCCUUAAGUUAACAAGGAAGUUAAUACCAUGCAUAAGUAAGAUAACUACCCUUAGAAGUGUUAGUCACAGUUAAAGGGUCCUACUAGGUCACUUCUAAAUACUCAUGAAUGCUGUGGGCCAGUGUAUGGAAAUGACAAACCACAAUAAGACUAUGAAGUUAUGCACAAUAUGACUACGUGACAUAAAAAUGUUUAAAAAAUUUUUAUCACAGCAAAAGGCACAUUGUCAUUACUCUUCAAGAUACCCUCUACCACUUUGAACACACAUCCCAUUGUUCUUGUCACUUUCUGAAACAGUGUAUAGUUUGUUUACAGUAACUUCUGUCAAAUGAUAAUAUGACAGUGUGUCUUCAUCCUCCUUAUUCACAGAAUCUAGUACUAUGUGACUUCUGGCUCUUACAUAAGGUCAAAACGACCUUGAAAGGUAAAUAUGUUGAAUUCAUUCAGGACACGGAGGCAACUAUGACAGUCCAACUAAAGAUACUCAUGAAAGAGGACUUCCAGAAGUACUGCAAACAGUUGCAAGAAUGGUGAGUGGAGUAGGUAGACAUGACAGCGCAAAGCAGCUGGCGUCGAUAAUGGAACCUCAGAGAAAAGAAUAGUGCAGCCGCAUGGAGGAUUUAGCACCAGGGAUCACCAAAAGUGCCAUUAUACUGGGCUUGGGAUGCAGCCCAGCAGUGCAGUGCCUGUCCGGAAAGGGUGAGACCCUGGGUUCAAUCCCUGGCACUAAAAAAGAAAAAAGGAAAAUAAUGACCAAAAAAAAAAGUACCACAAAAUCUAUGCAGUGCAAUAAACUGAACUGAGGGCUGGGGAUUUAGCUCAGCGGCACAG